UAAAACUUUCAUUAUAUCGUGUCUCAUUUAUGCUAAUUUUAAUUUAUAUAUAUAAAAAUAUAAAUAUAUAGUAUUAUUCAAAUAAUAUAUAAAAAAUAUAAAUUUAAUUUAAAUAUAUAUAUAUUUUUAUUAAAUAUAAUAAUAAAAUUUAAUAUUAAUAUAUAUCUGCAUUCGAAUCUUUGUUAGUUAAUUUGCGAAUUAUUUGUGAAUUAUUGAAGAUUCAAAUUAAACGGUCUGUUUACGAUUUUUUUUCAAAAAAAAUAAUUAUUUGCGAAUUUUUGGCAAGCCGAAUAAUUCGCGAAUUAUUCGCGAGUUAUUUCUGAAUUAUUAAAAACCUGAAUAAAAAACUUAUAAUUUUUAUAUUUAAAUAUAAAUUAUCUAAUAUUUUAUAGCUUAUAUUUUAUACUUUAUACCUAAUUUAUUUUUUUAAAUCAAAUUUUUUAACAAAUUUAAAAUUUUAAAAAUAAAUUUUAUGCUUAUUAUAUUCGUAUCUAAUUUUUGCCGAAUCCGAAUUAACUCACUAGGGUCGGAAUUCGUAUUU
rnacentral:lncRNA from 1 species